rnacentral:rRNA from 1 species
UACGGAGGUGGCAAGCGUUGCUCGGAAUCACUGGGCGUAAAGGGCGCGUAGGCGGACCUGCAAGUCGGGGGUGAAAGCCCGAGGCUCAACCUCGGAACUGCCUUCGAUACUGCGGGUCUCGAGUCCGGGAGAGGUGAGUGGAAUUCCUAGUGUAGAGGUGAAAUUCGUAGAUAUUAGGAAGAACACCAGUGGCGAAGGCGGCUCACUGGCCCGGUACUGACGCUGAGGCACGAAGGCCAGGGGAGCAAACGGG